rnacentral:snoRNA from 1 species
ACUCCAUGGUGUGGACAUUUUCGUUGCAAAUCCUUGAAUCUUUCCCAGGCAUCAUGAAGUGUUUCGUUGUCACGUUACUUGAAACUAGUGAUGUCAGUUCUCAGCUU